ensembl:lncRNA
CCCAAAAGAUUCACAUCAGCUCCGCCACCUACCAGACCCUCCUGACGGAUGACGCGUAUGAAAUUGAGCUUCGAGGAGAGAUUGACGUCAAGGUGAGAAGCGGCUGGGUUAGAUCGAUUGAGAUGCCAGCUUAGGCCCACAGUGAUCAUAGCACCUGAGAUGUAGAGCUGGGGAGGGCUUUAAGAGGUCAUCUUGAGCACACCUCCCCUUCCUCCCAUUUUACAGAAGGGUAAGCAACUUGUGGAAACAACUAGCAAGCAUCCGAGGUGAUGCUGUUUCCAUUGUAUAUUCCCCCUCACUAGAGGCCUUCGAACAGAGACUGGCUGCCUCCUUGGCUCUUGGGAUGUUGUAGAAAGGAUUCCCGUUCAGGUACAAGUUGGACUUGAUAACUGCCGACAUCAUAGGAUUGAAGAGGCUGUUUUACAGAUGAGGUCCCAUUUUACAGAUAAAGAACUGAGGUCCAGAGAGGUUAAGGGACCUUCCCAACAGUAGUAGGAAGCGGAGCCAGGAUUUAAAUGCAAGUGCCACUCUGCUACACUGCUCCCCUCCCUUCCAACUUUGAGAUUCUGCUGGUGAUAUUUCUUUCAUUCAUUCAUUCAAAAAAUAAUUGUUGGGUACCUACUGGAUGUAAGGCAUUUAGCACAGCACUAUGGGACUGGGGUGGAGGAAACCCAAGACCCAUCCCUGCCCUCUCGUAGGGGCCUGAUAGGACACAGCUGUAGCAGGAAUCCAAGCUCCCAGAGAUGCCGCGGUCUCACAGGCCCAGCUGAGGUGCUUCCCCUUCUUUCAGGGCAAAGGAAAAAUGAAAACCUACUGGCUCCUGGGGAACAAGAAGUACGGUGUUCAGAACGACAGCCUGGUGUGCCACUGGUGGCCUUCCCAUAAUGCCUCUGGAAACAAGAUGGCAGAGAGCAGCCCAUGCUUGGGCCUGGCUUCCAGUGCAAUGGGAGCUGCCCUGGGUGAAGCCCCUGAAACAGCCUCCUCAACAGAAAAGGUCUCAUCUAGCAAUACCACAAACCCCUCUGAGCUGAUGGGGCAGCCUGGGGGUGAGAUGCCCCAUAGACCCAUACUAGGUGAUGGAGCCUCCCUCCUGGCAUCCCCUUCUCCUGGCCAAAGCACCCCUGUAUGCCCGAGGAACAGCAGCCAGGGGCACCUAGGGAAGGACAAAUUCCUGCCCGGUUUCGUGGAGGAGAUGGAAUAAACCCAAUGGAUUGGCCUUCCCAGGAGCUGGACUUCAGGGCUAUCUCUUCAGGUCUGUGGAUGGGCCACUGACCCAAGGGCCAAAGCCUGGACUCAACACAAGGAGAAGGAUCUGAGGACUAAACUCUGGAAGCUAAAAGCAGCCUUUGGUGCCAACUGAGACCCCUUGUCUGUAACCUCAAACUCUAUGAGCUCCUUUGGGAGUGAAGGGUAAAAAGGGGCAGUGAGCAGGACUUGGUCUGGAGAGCUACACCUGGGAAUAAUGGGCUUAUGGAGUCUGACCUGUAAGGGAGCUUAGAGACCAUUUAGUCCAGGAGUCCUUACCCUGGGAUGGACUCUAGGAGUCUCUAAAUUUGGAUGGGAAAAAUUACAUCUCUAUUUUUACUAACUUCUAACUACAAUUUAGCAUUUCCAUCAAUUAUGAAUUUUAAAAAAAACCCAUUAUUCUAGCAACAGGUUGGUGGAUUUUAGCUGCUAAAGACAUACACAAAGGGUAAGAACCCCAGAUCCAGUCCAUGAUGCUAUUUUACAAAAAAAGAAACUGAGGCUCAGAGGAGUGAACUGAUUUCCCAAGGUGACUUUGGUACAAUCCUCUGGGUCUCAGAUUCCUCAGCAGCGCCCUUCUGAGAUCUUUUCUUCCACUCUAAAAUGGGGAUAAUAAUAGCACCAACUUCACAGGGCUGUUAUGAGUAUGAAGGGAGAUAACCUAUGUUAAAUGCUUCACAAACCUUAAAGUAAUAUGGAAAUGUGUUAAAAUAGUAAUAAUAAUUAUUAGUAGCAGUUGUGUUAGUAUUACUAGUAUUUAUUAUUAUUAGUUAUUGUUGUAGUAGUAGGUAGUAGUAGUAGUAACAGUAGUAAUAAGAGGAGGAAAAGGAGUGGUAGUAGUAGUAGCAGCAGCAGCAGCAGUAAUAGUUACAGUAGUAGUGGUAGUAGUAGUAGUAGUAGUAGUAAUAGUAGUAAUAGGAGGGAAAGGUGGAGUAGUAGUAAGAGGAGGAGUAACAAUAAUAGUAGUGGUAGUAGUAGUGGUGGUGGUAGUAGUAGCAAUAGUAGCUCUAGAUGGCCUCUAAGGUUCUUUCCAAAUCUAAAUGGAUGAUCCCAUGAUCUUUGAAUGGGAACAGACUGAAUAAAAAUGGCUAACAUGGAGUUCA